AUGCCUCGGAGGCUCUAUUUGGCCUUAAAGUGCUGUGUGACCUUGGAUAAACUGCCCUCUCUGAAUCUCUGGUCCUUUCCAUUUCCCAUUCUCCAGGCUGAGAACUGCACUGUGAUAUAUGGUUAUUCCCAUAAUAAUAAUGUGUGUAUCAUGCAUAAUGCACUGCACCUCUUCCCCACGCUGGUGCCCACUCUUCUGCUCCCCCUGCCGGCUUCCUCAGCCCCUUCUACCCCGAUGGUUCUCUCCUUGCCUCCUCAGGCCAGCACUUCCCAUGAUCUGAGAUGUCCGUCCUCCUUCCUCUUCAACUUUUUCUCCAGCAAUAACCAAGGCACAGCCAACUGAUCUCCAACCAUCUGAGGAACCCAACCAUAAGCAGGUGUGGGAACCGCUGAGCAGCACACCCUCCCCCAGCAGGAAAUCUGGGACACGCAGGAGCCUCAGUGAAUCCGACCGUUGUCUCAUCUUACCAGGCAGGUGCCUCCUCCAUCCUAUGUGCGAUCAACUUUAUUACUACAAUUAUUAAUAUAAAGCUGUUGUAACCAAGCGGGUAAUAGAGGAACGCCACACUUUGAGACUAAUUCAGGAGUUCUUUAUUAGCCAGCGAUCGAGAGACAGCUAGCGCUCAAAAUUCUCUCAGCCCUGAAGAAGGGGCUAGAUUUUCUUUUAUACUUUGGUUUAGAGAGGGGAAGGGGAGCCUAGCUAUAGCAAUCUUAUAGAAGUAAAACAGGCAAAAAAAAGUUAGACAAAUGGUUACAGGAAAACAAAUGGUUCCAGGUGCAGGGGCUUUAAAUCCAUCACAAGGUGAUGGGUGCAAGGGCUUUGGGUGCUAUCUACUGGAUACAAAUGCAGGGGCUUAGGAUACUAUCACCCGAGCGAAUUCCUGGGAACUGCGGACAUAACUUGCCACAGGACCUUAUCAGUUAAUUGCACUCUGAUGUGCUGGGAGUCAGCUUGCACAAGUUAAGUCCUUGAGGAAGGGGGUGGGCAAGGGGCUGCAAGUGAAGGAGCCAAAAUGGAGUUUGUCUGGCUCUCUCAGCUAAGGGAGAGUCAAUUCAGGUUAAAACAAGGUAGCAUAUCAUAUUCCCCACUUGUUACAGGAGGGUUAUAUUGGGCUUUAAGAUAUAUAAGUUUGACAGAAGCUAUGUGUUGCUUUAUAAAGUUAAGAAACCAGUUUUAACUUACGAGGUUUGAAGACUAAACAAGAGGAGAAAGGGGUCCUGCCAAUUCAGUAAUUAGAGUAGUUAGUCAUGGAUUACAGUUAAACAUGCUUUGGUACUAGGGGGUGUUAUGAAUUUGAGCAGGAAUGCUGUCCACUUUCAGAGCCGUCAGUGUGGUGAGGAUGACAGUAUGAGGUCUUUUCCAGGCAGGAGUGAGUCCUUUUUUUUUUCUUUUGGAACUUUUUAACAUACACCAGGUCACCCGGCUGGAAAGAGUGGCAGAGCCCCGUCUGGUCAGGAACUGGGUUGGGAUGAGCUCCCCGGACAAGCGGCUGGAUGAUGUCUUGUACCUGUUGGAGAGACUGCAGGUACUGUAAUAAAUUAGCUUGUGAGAUUUCUGCUAAAUGGGUAUCCCUUAGCUUAGGCCAGAUAGGCGGAGCCCUCCUAUACAUGAUUUCAAAAGGUGAAAACCUAGCCCGGUAAGGAGUGCAUCUCACUCUAUGAAGGGCUAAAGGAAGGAGUCUCACCUAAUUUUCACCGGUCUCUAAGAUCAAUUUUGUAAGAGUAUUUUUUAGGGUGUGGUUCAUGCGUUCUACCUGCCCAGAGCUCUGGGAUCGAGAGGCACAGUGGAGCUUCCAUUGAAUGUUUAGUGCCUUACUGACUGAUUGAGCUAUGGACGAGGUGAAGGCCGGUCCAUUAUCAGACCCUAUGGCAGCAGGCAGCCCAUGUUGAGGGAUGAUUUCAUUGAGUGAAAACCUAACUAUCGUGGUGGCAGUCUGGCAGUCUCGUUCUUGGUGGCAAAUGCCUCAGUCCAUCCAGAAAAGGUGUCUAGUAGUACCAGAAGGUAUUUGUACUCUGCCUGGUGUGGUUUUAUUUCUGUAAAGUCAAUUUCCUACCUUUCUCCUGGCGAGCCUCCCCGGAGGCGGUGGCCUGAGCUGGGUUUAGGAUCUUGCUUGGCGUUCACCUGGGCACAAGCCGUACACCGGAGAGCUGCUUGGUUCGCUAAGUCCUGAAGGUGGGGGAUCUUGAAACGGCUCCUUAGAAGCUGGGCCAGGUUUCCUCCUUCUAAAUGGGUGGUAGAAUGCAGACGACUGAUUAAAGUUUCCCCGAGAGCUCGGGGUAUGAAGAUUCCGGAAUCAGGAAGAAUCCACCAAUCUUCCUGAUUUUUACUGGCCUGAAGAUCCAAAGCCUGUUUUUCCUCCUCUGGGGAGUAUUCUGGGUGAUCUGGUAAGUCAGGUUGCGGAAAGGACACUGCAGGCAGCAGAGUCAGAGGCGUGACUGGGAGUUGAGCUGCCUCCCAGGCUGCAGAGUCUGCUCUUUGGUUACCACAGGCAAUGGCCAUGUCUUCUUUUUGAUGUCAUUUGCAGUGAAUUACAGCCAGCUGUUGAGGGAGCCAAACAGCUUCAAGCAGGGCCAAAAUUUCUUCUUUGUUCUUGAUAGCCUUUCCUGCUGAGAUGAGUAGCCCAUGCUCUUGGUAGAUGGCUCCAUGUACAUGCACAGUAGCAAAAGCACACCUGCUGUCAGUGUGAAUUUUAAUACGUUCGUCCUUACCCUAUCGGAGGGCCUGAGAGAGGGCAAUCAACUCAGCCCUCUGUGCUGAGGUACCUGCUAGCAGUGCUUGGGCCCACAGUAUAUUCGUCUCCGUAGUGAUGGCAGCACCAGCCUUUCGAACUCCCUGCUCAAGGAAGCUGCUACUGUCUGUAAACACAGUGGCAUCCGCCUCCUUUAAAGGCACGUCUUGGAGAUCAGGUUGGCCAGUUUCCGUAGUCUCUAACAGUUCUUGGCAGUCAUGGACAGGUGUGGUAAGGUCUGGGUCAGGGAGCAAGGUAGCUGGAUUUAAGCAUCUUGUGGGAGAGAAAGUUAAAUGAGGCUGAUCUAACAGUAAACUGUGAUACUGCAGGAUGCGGGCAUUUGACAUCCAUUUGCCAGAGGCACUUCGUAGUAAAGUGUCUACAGCAUGAGGACCUGUAAGGGUUAAAUUUUGGCCCAGAGUCAGUUUAUCAGCUUCCUGGACCAGGCUCGCUGUUGCUGCUACUGCUCACAGACAACUUGGCUACUUGGUGGAGGCCACAGGGUCUAGCCUCUUAAGACAAGUAGGCUACCGGACGUCACCAUGGCCCUCCACUGUGGCGGUCACCGUGGGCUACUGGGGGCCAAGAGAAAGGAGCCCCGGUCUCGUCAGUCAUCAGACUCCUCCGCUGUGGGGUGGGUGAGGACUUAAUUUUUCUUUUCUGGUUUUUCCUCUGGCUUUAAUGGGCAUUCUUUUUUCCAGUGUCUAGUCUGCUUGCAAUAAGCAUGUUGGUUUUUCUCCAGGGGAGCCUGCUCGCCUUUCUUGCCUUUCUGGUGGGGACCCGGGGUUCCCUGGCCAUUCCUCUGUGAUGGGGGCCUUUCCUUCUUGGCUUCCUGGAUGGCCGCCACUAAGAUUUUCGCAUGUCUUUUGGAUGCCUUAUUGGCGGCCUUUUCAGUUGCCUGAGCUGCCCGUUUUUGCUUUUCAAACUCUUGAUUGUCAAAAACUUUCUGGGCUAUCUCUAGAAGUUGGCUAAUGUUCAUUCUAGCAAAUCCUUCCAGUUUUUGUAAUUUUCUUUUAAUAUCAGGGCCUGCCUGAGCCACAAACGCCAAAUUAAUAGCACAGCUAUUCUCAGGAGCUGCUGGGUCAAAAGGGGUGUAACUCCGAUAGGCCUCCUGGAGGCAUUCCAAAAACGCUCCCGGUGGCUCAUCAGGCCCCUGGACAACUUCAAAUGUCUUAGACAAAUUUAUGGGUUUUCGAGCAGCUCCUUUGAUACCCGCAAGGAGAUACUGGUGAAAAUCAUCUAAAGCUCUCUUCCUGCCUGAGGAGUUUGGAUCCCAAUUAGGCCGGGUAGAGGGAAAACCUCCUCUAGGAGGUUAUGAGCUUCCUCCUCUGGUCUACCGUCUGAUGUAAGGAAAUAUUUUCUGGCCUCUCUUCGGGUACGUUCCUUCUCUUCAGAGGUGGAAAGGGUUAAAAGGAGCUGUUGACAGUCCUCCCAGGUGGGCCGGUGAGUCCGGAGCAUGGACUCCAUCAGUGAGGUCAAGACCUGGGGCUUUUCAGAAAAGGGGGGGUUAUGAGUCUUCCAGUUGUACAGGUCAGAAGUAGAGAAGCGGACAUAAACUAAGAAUGGGCCUGAGUGCUUAUCGCCCGGAGGGACUUGUGCCUCUCUCAGCUGGAGGAGGGGGGCUACCCCUCCUCCUGCCGUGGCCGCGAUCAGGAGGCAAUAGGUGGAGAGCCCACAGGGGAGGUAGUGGAGGAGACAAGAGAACAUUCUGAGGGAGCAGGAGGGUUAUAAGGCGGUGGAACUGGGUGAAGGAAACUUUCCUCUUCCUCACAAGGAGGCAAUACAGGAGGAGCCGAGCCGGCUGAGGGUCGAGGCGAAAGUGAGGUCUGGCUCAAAAGGACCUUGGAGGUAGAAUUAUGAAUGGCGCAUGAGCGGAGCCGUGGAGGAGGGCUCCGGACCAAACUCAGCCAUUGAUCAAUGUAGGGAAACUGAUUGGGGUGACCGGGAGUUCCAGCAACAACCCGCCACACAGUCUGAACAAUUGCGAGGUUCAGUGACCCUUCUGGGGGCGGGGGGGGGGGUCACCUGACUCUAAACUUUGGCCAUUCUACUUCACAGAGUGUCCAGAGUUUGCCUUUUUUAAGGCGGACCCUAUAAUCCUCUGAGAAGCCUAGAGAGAAAUUUUGUAACAUACAUUGGAG
rnacentral:lncRNA from 1 species